CAGAGGUUUUGGUUUUAUUGCAGAGCACAAACUCGGCUUCGUUUCCUUCCUGCUCAUCUUUCAACCCUCCUCAGGUUCUCCUUCCCCAGCCAGCUUUGCUGCGAGCCUCCCCUUCCAAUCCAUCACAAUUCCCGGGUUUAGCAAUGGGAUGUGAGACAGAUCCAGGCAGGAAAACCCCUGGAACAGAAGAACAUUCUCAGCGUCUCUGCAGCUGGGGCUGGGGGAAGCACAGAGGGUGGAAAUUUCCCAGCACGAGAGAAAAAAAAAAGAAGAAGAAAAAGAAAGAAAUUUCAAUUUCCCUGCUAUAAAACCCAGUGGGAAAAGCAAAAAGCAGCAGCACACAGGGUGGUGAGAGGGGCUGGGGACUCGGAGCAGCUCAUUCAUGCCAGGGGAUCCCAGCCAGCACCUGCACAUCGUUCAUCUUCCUUUAUUGUCCUUUUAAUGCAGAGCCGGACACCCCUUUGCAAAGAGACAUUUUCCAGGCCUUCCUGAGGCUUGGGAACGCUGCUGGCCCUGUUUCCCGGCCAGACAAACGGGCCAGGAGAGGGAUUUGGGAGCAGGGAGGGGAUUGAAGUGUUUUCCCCAUCAGAACCUCCCUCGGGCUGUCCCAGGAAAAGCCUUUGUGAUCCAGACCCAGAUUUUCUGGAAUUGCACCUUGGCACUGCCCAGCCCCGAGGAAGCACUGGAGUUUGGUCUGAAAAUCAGGAUUUUCUCCCACUUGCAGGGUAUUUUUGUCCUCACAGCCUUCACCCUGAGCUGUGGGGAGGCAGUGCUGGGACUCCUGGUCCCCAAAUCCCCUUCCCAGUGGGGCCAUGCUGGGAUCCAGCGCCCAGCACAGGGGCAGAGCCCCAUGGAGUGCAGGACUGGCUCAUCCCAGAGGCUGGAAGGGCUGGAUUGGGGAUAAUCCUGUCCCCAGCCCUGGGAGGGGGCAGCAGGUGUGCAGUGACACGUUUGGGGCUAAUCCCUUGUCCUUAUUUUCUCCUCAGCAUGGGAAAGCAAAUCGCUGCUUUUAAUCCCAUUUCCAGCUCCUGCUCCAGGGGGGAGCAGCCCCAGGGCUCAUCCGCAGCCUCUGGAGCCUCCCCUAUUCUCAGGAAUCUGAAAAAAUCCUGCCCAGGCCUUCAAACCAACUCAGCGGCGCUUGGGGAGGGAAAAGCUCAGUAAAUUACACUUAAUUAACAUUUAAUUAAUGCGUUUGAUGGCUUCCUGUGUUUCCAUGCAGCGCCCUGGAUCUGCCUGCACGAGAGGCUCCAGAAUUGUGGAAGUGGAAAUUGGGAACAUUUCUGUGUUUUCCAGGGGGUUGGGUCCCUUUUCCACCUUUGCCACGGGCUGGGAAUCCUGGGAUGGUGGUGGCUGUCCCGCAAGUAAAUUAUGAAUAAAAUUACGGUAUAAUUUAUAAAAU
rnacentral:lncRNA from 1 species